GUGAAUCAUCAAAUUUUUGAACGCAAAUUGCACUCUUUGGUAUUCCGGAGAGCAUGCCUGUUUGAGGGUCAGUUUAAAUAAAAAUCGGUGUGGUUGCUGCCUUUCGUGGUGACGCACCGGAUUUGGGUCGUCUUGCUUUCGGUCAAGUGAUGUAAACUUCCGCAUGAUUUUUUUUGAACGCAUCUAAAUGAUUUUACGUACGUUU
rnacentral:misc_RNA from 1 species